rnacentral:rRNA from 1 species
UGGGGAAUAUUGCACAAUGGGCGCAAGCCUGAUGCAGCAACACCGCGUGAGGGACGACGGCCUUCGGGUUGUAAACCUCUUUUGGCAGGGAAGAAGCGAAAGUGACGGUACCUGCAGAAAAAGCACCGGCUAACUACGUGCCAGCAGCCGCGGUGAUACGUAGGGUGCAAGCGUUGUCCGGAAUUAUUGGGCGUAAAGAGCUCGUAGGCGGUUUGUCGCGUCUGCUGUGAAAACCCGAGGCUCAACCUCGGGCCUGCAGUGGGUACAGGCAAACUAGAGUGCGGUAGGGGAGAUUAGAAUUCCUGGUGGAGCGGUGGAAUGCGAAGAUAUCAGGAGGAACACCGAUGGCGAAGGCAGAUCUCUGGGCCGUAACCGACGCUGAGGAGCGAAAGCAUGGGGAGCGAAC